ACUCCUACGGGAGGCAGCAGUGGGGAAUAUUGCACAAUGGGCGCAAGCCUGAUGCAGCCAUGCCGCGUGUGUGAAGAAGGCCUUCGGGUUGUAAAGCACUUUCAGUCGUGAGGAAGGUAGUGUAGUUAAUAGCUGCAUUAUUUGACGUUAGCGACAGAAGAAGCACCGGCUAACUCCGUGCCAGCAGCCGCGGUAAUACGGAGGAUCCAAGCGUUAUCCGGAAUCAUUGGGUUUAAAGGGUCCGUAGGUGGAUGAUUAAGUCAGAGGUGAAAUCCUGCAGCUCAACUGUAGAAUUGCCUUUGAUACUGGUUGUCUUGAAUUAUUGUGAAGUAGUUAGAAUAUGUGGUGUAGCGGUGAAAAUGCAUAGAUAUCACAUAGAAUACCGAUUGCGAAGGCAGAUUACUAACAAUACAUUGACACUGAUGGACGAAAGCGUGGGGAGCGAACAGGAUUAGAUACCCUGGUAGGAUAGCGU
rnacentral:rRNA from 1 species